UACGUAGGUGGCAAGCGUUGUCCGGAUUUAUUGGGUUUAAAGGGUGCGUAGGCGGCCCUGUAAGUCAGUGCUGAAAUAUCCCGGCUUAACCGGGAGGGUGGCAUUGAUACUGCAGGGCUUGAGUACAGAUGAAGUAGGCGGAAUUGACGGUGUAGCGGUGAAAUGCAUAGAUAUCGUCAAGAACACCGAUAGCGAAGGCAGCUUACUAAGCUGUAACUGACGCUGAGACGCGAAAGCGUGGGGAGCGAACAGG
rnacentral:rRNA from 1 species